CCUACGGGUGGCAGCAGUGGGGAAUAUUGGACAAUGGGCGAAAGCCUGAUCCAGCCAUGCCGCGUGUGUGAAGAAGGCCUUCGGGUUGUAAAGCACUUUCAGUGGGGAAGAAAGCCUUGGGGCUAAUACCCUCGAGGAAGGACAUCACCCACAGAAGAAGCACCGGCUAACUCCGUGCCAGCAGCCGCGGUAAUACCGGAGGGUGCGAGCGUUAAUCGGAAUUACUGGGCGUAAAGCGCGCGUAGGCGGUCUGAUAAGCCGGUUGUGAAAGCCCCGGGCUCAACCUGGGAACGGCAUCCGGAACUGUCAGGCUAGAGUGCAGGAGAGGAAGGUAGAAUUCCCGGUGUAGCGGUGAAAUGCGUAGAGAUCGGGAGGAAUACCAGUGGCGAAGGCGGCCUUCUGGACUGACACUGACGCUGAGGUGCGAAAGCGUGGGUAGCAAACAGGAUUAGAUACCCCGGUAGUC
rnacentral:rRNA from 1 species